ACAGCGGCGCCGUCAGCAGCGAGCGCCGCUUCGCCGGCCGCUUCUCUUCCCUUCCCCUAUUCUCUCUUUCCCCUUUGGUUCUUCCCUUUUCGUCCGUCUCUAUCUCUCGGAAACAACCACACGCCGCCUCCGCCGUGGCCAAGCACGGCGCCGCCUGGUCGUCCCCGGCCUUGGAACAGGGUGGCAGAGGCCUCUCCGCCGCUGCAUGUGCCUUCUCCGGCCGUUGUGAAAAGCCGAGCGUCGCCGCGCCGCUUCCCCUGUUCUCCGCCGUCUCCGCCAUGGCCGGAAUCGUGGUGGAUGGCCGAGCUUUGUCUCGCCGGAAAGGUAAGCUCCAGAUCUGAGCUCCCUUUCCUCUCCUUUCUAUUUUAAAAAAAACAGAUCUGAACUCCUCCCUUUUCUCCUCUUUUCCGGCCGAACAGAACCGCCGUUCGUGUCGCUGCGCCGCUGCUUCCGCCGCGUCGUCGGAAAAGAUAAGUCUCUCCCCCUUUUUCCCGUAUCUCUCUCUCUUUUUUUUUAUUUUUACAGAAGCCCUAACCAUCUCUCUCUC
rnacentral:lncRNA from 1 species